rnacentral:tRNA from 1 species
GACUUAAUACUUUAAUUUAAAAGAUUCGAUUUGCAUUCGUAAAAUAGGUUUGUUUAACUUUUAGGUCA